CACGUGUAGGGCAAAAGGUUGACAUUUAUGUUCCUACAUUUUAUUAAGUAAGGACAACUUAUAUGUGUGUGGACCCCACUUAAUUUAAGAAGGAACAUUGCUAUGAAUGUAUCAUCCUUGUUGAAUAAGAAUUUUAGGAAAGAAAAGGCAGCAACCUUUCAACAAAUACAUUAGUAAUAGGAAGCCAACUCUUUUGAAUAGUUCACACGCUAGAAAUGAAAAUGGAGCAGCAACUUCUUAAUAUUUUGGACAAUUUCUAAAAGAAGAAAGUGAGAAGGCAGCAACAUAUUUCCCUUCAUGGAAGAUCAGCAACGUGCAUAAGAUUGGGAAGCUCGGGAUCUGAUUUGUGGUUAGCUUGGAGCGGAUAAGACGACCGAUUUGCUGAUCCGCCCGCUUAGGAUCCUAUUCUGCUAUCUGGAAGUGCUCCUUUGUCCGGAGCUUAUAUUUUGGGUACAGACUUCUCUGUUGAACAUAUGUAUAUUAAUCAGGGGUACGACGGGGCCCUGUCCCGUCUUGUGAUUUGUUUGUUGUUCGUAGAGGUCUGUAGACAUAUAUGUGGGUUCUGUAUAUGUUUUGGGUUGAUAUGAUCUGUGAUAGCCUUAUCGGCUUCCACGUGCUAUAUUUGUUCACCUGUGAUAGUUAGU